UACGUAGGGGGCAAGCGUUGUCCGGAAUCAUUGGGCGUAAAGAGCGCGUAGGCGGUCCGGUAAGUCCGCUCUGAAAGUCCGGGGGCUCAACCCCGGGAGGCGGGCGGAUACUGUCGGGCUAGAGUCCGGAAGAGGCGAGUGGAAUUCCUGGUGUAGCGGUGAAAUGCGCAGAUAUCAGGAGGAACACCUGCGGUGUAGACGGCGUCCUGGACCAUGACUGACACUGAGGCACGAAAGCGUGGGGAGCAAACAGG
rnacentral:rRNA from 1 species